UACCUGGUUGAUCCUGCCAGUAGUCAUAUGCUUGUCUCAAAGAUUAAGCCAUGCAAGUCUAAGUACGAGCUCUCGUACAGUGAAACUGCGAAUGGCUCAUUAAAUCAGUUAUGGUUCAUUUGAUCGUACAGUUUACUUGGAUAACUGUGGUAAUUCUAGAGCUAAUACAUGCGAGAAGCGCCGACCUCGCGGGAGGCGUGCAUUUAUCAGACCAAAAACCGGCCGCGUCUUCGGGCGCGUUCGCCUUGGUGACUCUGGAUAACUUUGCGGAUCGCACGGUCUAGCACCGGCGACGGAUCAUUCAAGUGUCUGCCCUAUCAACUUUCGUCG
rnacentral:ncRNA from 1 species